GUGAAUCUGGAAACUAAAGGGAGUGGUAAAAUGUGGGACUGUUAGCGCUGCGCCCUGCAAACAGGGCCUCCUGACUGUCAGCCAGGUGACCGGCUCCCUGGAGAGCAGCGGUCCAAACCUGACUGAGGGAUGGCAGGUGGGGGCCAACUGCCUGUCCUUGAAGUUAAUAAAACAAGACCAGCCGGCUCUCACGGAGCUCUGCUCAGUCCCCAGCACUAUGCUCAGUGGGAUUUCUGGUUUCUGAUGGGAGGGAAAGCAGGGCCUGUCUCCAGGGGCUACAGACCACCCCCUCCUUCUUGCCUUCUGCCUGCAGCCCAGGUAUGCUGCUCAGAACCAAACCAACCUGCCCUCCCCGGGAGCCAGCAUCAGGGUGACAGCAAUGAGACAAGACUGAGAUCUCCUGACCAGGAAUCCUAACAUGGUGGUGGCCUGUGGAUGACCUCUGGGGGACCAGGGCCCCCUCCCCCAACUUGAUCAAUAUUCUGCAUCUGAGCCUUCUUCCCAAGAGAAGUUUCAGCACGUUUACCAGAUUUUCAGAGUCUGUGGCUCCUUCUCUCAAGCUGCGUCAGUGAAGUCCCAAGGUCCUCCCAGCAGCCCUUCAAGGUAUGGAGACGAGGCUGCUCCCUGCAAAUCACCUGGCGUUCAUCAGGGCAAUCAACACGUGCUGCUCUCCCCAUGCAACACACAGAAAAGAAUUCCAGAAAGAGUCCCAGUAUCCUCCCGUGUAACGUGAGAAUGGUAAUGACGAGGAGCUGAUGCCCUCGCUGGGAGGAUUCACGGUGAGAGCAGAUGGCAGAGAACUCGGCUCAGGCCAGUGUGAGAGCUCUUGGAAGGGUGAUGGUUGCUUCCUUCCAACUGACCUUCCUAGAAUCUCUGGUGGGGCUGUAGUUACACCCCCGGAUCCUACUCCAGGUGCUGUUGGCCCAACACCCACCUACAGGAGACACACAGAAGCUGGGGAAGAUGAGAGAGACGGAGGCCCCUUGACUCCAAGAUUUGGGGGUUGAAACCUUGUGAUUGUAUAAUUAAGACAAACAUGUAGACGUUAAAGGGGAGAAUGUAAAAGUUGCCUAACAUUUAAAGAUAAAACACAAAACUUCAGAGAAAUCUCAUGCUUGCUUUGGGCCAUGCCUCUGGGGUGGGGCUAGGAAGUGUCCUCAGGCUCCUCUGAGCUCAGGGCGCUUGGGGGUGGAUGGAAUCACAGGUUGGGACCCAGGGGGCAAAGAGGAGCACCAGAGGCCAACAAGGGUCUGCUGAUAAAUUCUUCUCAUUUUUCAAACUGUGAAACUCUUUACUGUCUUUUUAAAAGUAAUUUUAAGUUUCAGUAAACACUGCAUGAUCAUUGUAAAACACACACACACAGUGAAAUGUACAAAGGAGAAACAAAAAUUGGUUUCUCCUUCCCCUAGAGCAUUGAGUCAGUAAUUUGGUGUUUGUCCAGCCAUUCGUCUUCCUGUUCAUGUACACACACAGAGACACAAUUACACAGACUAGCACAGAUAUGCACA